rnacentral:rRNA from 1 species
AGAAAGUGGGUGCAGGGAGGCGGGGUAGGACGUGGGGGGGAAGGGGGGUGGGGGUGUAGUGGGCGGAAAGCGCCCGCAGGGGGGUGGGUAAGGUUCAGGGGAAAUCGCCCGGGUCAAGCGGGAGGGGGGCGGGAAAACUAUGAGGCUUGAGUAAUGGAGAGGGAUGUGGAAUUCCCGGUGUAGUGGUGAAAUGCGUAGAUAUCGGGAGGAACACCAGUGGCGAAGGCGGCAUCCUGGCCAUGUACUGACGCUCAGGGGCGAAAGCGUGGGGAGCAAACCGGAUUAGAUACCCUAGUAGUC